AUGCAAAAGGCUUGCCUCCAGGUUACAACAACACAACCACACCACAAAACCACAAUCCAGACCCACAAAACUCACAACAACGCAUCAUGCGAUAACAACACAACUAAACGCCCCAGAAAUACAAAACUUGGCAACACAAUGCAAAAGCCUUGCCUCCCAGUUGUAACAACACAACCACACCACAAAACCACACAGGACCCACAAAACUCACAACAACACAACCACACCACAAAUCCACAAUCCGGGACCCACAAAACUCACAACAAUGCAUCAUGACUAUAACAACACAACUAAACGUCCCAGAAAUACGAAACCUGGCACACAACUAAACGCCCCAGAAAUACAAAACUUGACAACACAAUGCAAAAGCCUUUGCCUCCCAUUUGUAACAACACAACCACACCACAAAACCACACUGGACCCACAAAACUCACAACAACGCAUCAUGACUAUAACAACACAACUAAACGCCCCAGAAAUACGAAACUUGGCAACACAACACAAAAGCAUUCCCUCCCAAUUGUAACAACACAACCACACCACAAAACCACAAUCCGGACCCACAAAACUCACAACAGUGCAUCGUGACUAUAUCAACACAACUAAACGCCCCAGAAAUACAAAACUUGGCACACAACUAAACGCCCCAGAAAUACAAAACUUGGCAACACAACACAAAAGCCUUGCCUCUCAGUUGUAACAACACAACCACACCACAAAACCACAAUCCGGACCGACAAAACUCACAACAACGCAUUGUGACUAUAACAAAUACAAAAUUUGACAACACAACUCAUCCACCUCCCCAAUCCCUACAUUCACACUUGGCCUCCAAAAAAACAAUUACAAUAAUAACAAUGACAACAACAACAACAAUAAGAAUCAACACCAUCACAGGCAAGAAACAGCCAGGCACUGAGGCUGAGAGGCCAGUCAGUGCUACACUGGGCCUCCAAAAAACAAUACAGUAGCAUCUAACUUAUCCAACCUUCAUGACCACUACAACAACAAUAAUAAUAAACACCUACACAGGCAAAACAAAAAAAAGACUAUUGUACCACAAUAAAAAUAUAAACCGCACUCAGCAGAAUCAGACAUUACAACUAACAACAAACAAAAGACAACAGGGAUCUCAAGCAAUUAUCAAUCAACACAAAAAUUGAAGAAGGUAACAGACUUCAAAUACUACUACUAAUGUGAGUAUAAAGAAGGUGGAGCUCACAGCAUAAAUACAACCUAAUGUAGACUGACCAGCACCACCAGACUAACCCACAGCAACGCGUGGCCGGGCACAGCUAGUAUAUAUAUAUAUAUCCAAAAUCCCUCCUGUAAGAAACAUUUGUUUCUCCCAGUACCUGACUAUGUACCAUUUUCAAAGGUGAUCAAACUCAGCCUAUAAACAUACCUGAAGACCAUGUUGGAGACUUAGGAAGCUUCAGUUCUCCAGAACUAGUUCUAUAUUGAUCCCUGCCUUAUUGUCUUCCUUGUUUUCCCUAUCAUUAUAAGUGUUUGACCUUGGUUCACUUUGUAUUGUUUAAUAUUCUGUGUCCUGUUGUGUGCCUUCUCGUUGUUUCUGACUUAUGGCAGCCCUAAGGCAAACCUAGUACAACAUUUCUUUGGUAAGAUGUAUUCACAAAAGUUUGCCUUUGUACUCUACUGAGUCUGACAGAAUGGGAUUUGUCCAAAGACAUUCAGUGGGUUUCCAUGUCCAAGAAAGAGUUUAAUUCUUAUCCUCAGUGUCCAGUCCUCAAAACACUACAAAAUGCUUCUUCUUACACUGUAUAACAUAUCUGCUAUAAUACACCUGUUGUUUUGCAUUUUAUGUCUUGGAGCAUAGCAAGCUUCCCAAUACUUAGACAACUUCAUCUAGCUCAUGUUUACACAAACUGGAAGCAAUUUUCCAGGGUUUAGAUCAGGAAUCCUUUCCAGUUCUAACUAGAAAUGCCAGGGAGUGAAUGGACAACAUUCUGCAUAGAAAACAUAUUACUUCUGUAUACAGUCUCUUAACUAUUGGUGCUAAGGAGCUAUCGAAGGUGCUGAAACCAAGAAGUGGAAUUGUGCGUGGAAAGCAAGGCUUUGGCCCUAGUAAGAAUUCUUCUCUUAAUAAAACUUUCCUUUAAUCUCCAAAAUCUGAGCAUUGUAGAAGGUAAAACACUGAAAAUCAUCCUGAUACCCUUGUAUUUACUGUGUUCAGAGGCACUUGGUCACUUUACCUACCCCUUUGCUUUGGAAGCUUAAACUAAUUGUCUUAAAUGCUUAACUGUAGAAUUAAAUACAGUAGAGUCUCACUUAUCCAACAUAAAUGGGCUGGCAGAACGUUGGAUAAGCAAAAAUGUUGGAUAAUAAGGAGGGAUUAAGGAAAAGCAUAUAAAACAGCAAAUUAUGUUAUCAAUUUUACAAAUUAAGCACCAAAACAUCAUGUUUUACAACAAAUUGACAGAAAAAGCUGUUCAAUACAUGGUAACAUUAUGUAGUAAUUACUGUAUUUAUGAAUUUAGCACCAAAACAUCGCAAUGGAUUGAAAACAUUGACUACAAAAACAUUGACUACUAAAAGGCAGACAGUGUUGGAUGAUACAGAACGUUGGAUAAGCGAAGGUUGGAUAAGCGAGACACUACUGUAACUACAAAGUUUGAAGUUUUGGGACUGAAGGAAUGUUUCAUUUGGGGACAAUAUUUUCUAUUUUGAGGGGCAACGCUCUCACUUUGUCCCCCUCUCCAUUGCUAAAACACUAGGCCCUUUUCACACUGAUCACUAAUGUGAGUCUGAUCCAGUGUCCUGGAUGCUGGCUGGGCCCAAAUGACAUCCAGAUAGGGAGUUCCUCAAUUGACUCUGAAUGAUGCCUGCCAGAGCACCUAGGAUAAUGUGGAUGGGAUGUCAUGGCAGGGGCAACCGUAACAUGGGAGGAUGACAGGACACUGCUACCCCAUGUCUCUGCACUGUCUGAACCUGGGAAUGCGAAAUGGC
rnacentral:lncRNA from 1 species